UACAGAGGGUGCGAGCGUUAAUCGGAACUACUGGGCGUAAAGCGCGCGUAGGCGGCUUUGUAAGUCGGAUGUGAAAUCCCCGGGCUUAACCUGGGAACUGCAUUCGAGACUGCAUAGCUAGAGUAUGGGAGAGGGAAGUGGAAUUUCAGGUGUAGCGGUGAAAUGCGUAGAUAUCUGAAGGAACAUCAGUGGCGAAAGCGACUUCCUGGACCAAUACUGACGCUCAUGUGCGAAAGCGUGGGGAGCAAACAGG
rnacentral:rRNA from 1 species